GUGCCUUAAACUAAUGAGUAAGGAAAAUUACGAGCCCUGCUAACGCUCGGCUCAGCUUCCUCUCUGCAGUUGUCAUCAACUGCGUAAGCGUUAAUUUUUCCUAGAGGCACAGGUCGUCCCCUCGCAGCUGUUCUGCCUACUUUUGCAGAAUACUCGGGCGUGUUGCGAUCUGCCUC